UACGUAGGGUGCAAGCGUUAUUCGGAAUUACUGGGCGUAAAGCGUGCGCAGGCGGUUGUGCAAGACCGAUGUGAAAUCCCCGGGCUUAACCUGGGAACUGCAUUUGUGACUGCACGGCUAGAGUGCGGCAGAGGGGGAUGGAAUUCCGCGUGUAGCAGUGAAAUGCGUAGAUAUGCGGAGGAACACCGAUGGCGAAGGCAAUCCCCUGGGCCUGCACUGACGCUCAUGCACGAAAGCGUGGGGAGCAAACAGG
rnacentral:rRNA from 1 species